GGGAGAGCCGUGCCAGGCGUGCCUGGAGGCUGGAGGGCUGGGGGGAGGGGGACUCGUCGCCUUCAAAGGUUGCUCAGCCCGAGCCACCUCGCGAUCCCCACCCGCAACCUGCUCACCUGGGAAGAAAGCAAGAAGCCGCUCUGGGGUCGCCUCUGGAGGCCUGGUCAAAAUGGAGCAGUCUGGGCCUCAGUCCGGAGAAGCCGCUCCCGGGAGAGACAGAGCCCUUGGCUGAAGGGUUGGGGGGAAAGUGCAAGCAUCCCUCUCCCGGUCUCGACGCAUCCCGGGAGCGGGUGGCUGGUGUGAGCAGCUUCCCUCUGGCUCUUCGAAGCGACUGGUGGAGUUCGAGCUCUGAGCUUGUUAUGACAGCGGCUGAAGGCGCUUGAAUUGCUGUUUGCGGUGCCUACUAAUUGGACUGAAGGGCUGGAGUCUGGACACUGAAAGGGACCAUUGUCGCUGUUUGCCUUCCACGGCUGCCUCCCUGGGACCCUCUGGUUGAGGGGAGUCGCAUACCCGCAGGUCGUGGCACCCAUGCUCUGUGACCAUGCAAGGGUACCCUGUGGGGACACUGCACAUCAUUGUCUUGUCUGGGGCAGACAUCCUGCACUACAUUCCAGAUCUGAUGAGGCAUGGCUGCCCCAGGAUUACUGGGCUCGGACGGGAGCAGUGGUAGGAAGGAUCCUAUAUAAGUCAUGUGAGACAUAGAAUGUUCAGAUCAACUGAAGCUGAAACAAGCCUUUGGCAUCAUAUAUAACCCAGAAAGGGACAAAGCUGAUCCCAGAGGACUCAAGGCUAUGGGUGAUGUCGAAGGUGCGGAAGAAUCAAGUUGGAAAGACCAGCAGGAGACAGACAGAGUAAGGUUCCUUGAAUGCUUGGUUUAUGUGCCUGGCUGGAGGAGACACCCAUGGCCUUGCAGAGGGAGCGUUCUGGUGGGAAAGCAGACACAACCCACCCUAGGCCCGUGGUUUCCCUGCAAGAAGCCCAGUGGCUUUCUGGAGGACACUUUUCCUGGAGGAAGUGACUCAAGAGCAGCAUAAGCCAGGCUCUAUGGAAUGUUGGGUGAGCUGCUUGAGGAACUCCAAGGCCUGUCCCACAGUCUUCCAGCCUCCGACUCUCCGGCCCUCAGCGAGGUCAGCAGUGAGCUACUUUUGGAUCUGUUGGGAUCCCUGAGCCCGUGGUCCAGGGAGACUCUGAACAGGGAGAUCUUUUGUCAUGACAUGGUUGUCUCUUGUUGUGCAAGCAAGAGUCAGGGGACAAAUGACAUUGGCUUUAGCCCCCUGCCAGCAGUACCAGGGCCUCCAGGACGGGAGGGAAGGACCAGGCUGAGGCUGGCAUAUGGGAGAGAGCGUGUGUGCGCUGGCGUUUCACCUGCUAGGGCUGCCUUCUGCUGGGCUGUCCAUCUGGCACCAGCUGGCAUACCAGCUCCGCCCCCACAGCCAACCAGACUCCUUCGGCUGUUGCUAUGACAAUUGGCUGCCAUCUUGGUACUCAGGGCACUACCGUCUCUCUGACUUUUCCUGUGGGGCUCCUGAGGGACAGAAAACAGAUCCUCAAUUUUUCAUAUCAGAGCCAGGCAGUAGUGGCACACACCUUUAAACCCAACACUCAGGAAGCAGAGGCAGGUGGGUCUCUGUGAGUUUGAGGCGAGCCUGAUCUAUAGAGCAAGUUCUGGGACAGCCAGGACUAUUUAAAAAAAAAAAGUCUCAAAAAAAAUUCAUCUCAGUAUCCAGUUUUGGAACAAGGCCAGGCAAACCAAGCAGGAGGGCUGACACUGGAGUCCCAGCACAUGGACGUCUGGCCAGAAGGGCGGUGACUUUGAGGCAGAGAGUAAGGCCCUGGUCUCAAAAACAAACCAAAUUUUUGGGUAUGAUGACCCAUGUUUUUAUUCCCAGCCCUUGAGAGACAGAGGUAGGAGGAUCUUUAUGAGUUCAAUACCAGCCUGGUCCACAUAGCAAGUUUCAGGCCAGCUAGGGCUACAUAGUGAAACCCCAUCUCAAACAAAAAAAAGGCUAAUGAAUUAAUCAGCAUGGCUAGCUCAUUUGGUAGAGUGCUUCUCUAGCAUGCACAGGGCCAUGGGUUCUACCCCCAGUACUGCGCAGACUGUGUUUGGUGGCGCGUGCGCGUAAUCCCAGCCCUCUGGAGGCUGAGGCAGAUGAGCCACUACAAUUUUGAGGCCUGCUCGGGGUGUGUUAUGAGUUCCAGGACAUCCUGGGCUCUAUCUCCAAGAAACAUAAAAUGGCAACAGUCAAAAUAGGCCACUAGGUCCGGCUCCAUGCUAUGCUCUCUGUACUCUGCGUCUAAGAAAGAAUCAGUGAGAUAGAGUUGAAGGAGUUCAGAUCCUGUUUCUGGGUUGGGACUGUGGCUCAGGG
rnacentral:lncRNA from 1 species